rnacentral:rRNA from 1 species
AUUGAACGCUGGCGGCAGGCCUAACACAUGCAAGUCGAACGCGAAAGUCACUUCGGUGGCGAGUAGAGUGGCGGACGGGUGAGUAACGCGUAGGAAUCUGCCCUGUAGUGGGGGAUAACCCGGGGAAACUCGGGCUAAUACCGCAUACGCCCCACGGGGGAAAGCGGGGGAUCCUUCGGGACCUCGCGCUAUAGGAAGAGCCUGCGUCGGAUUAGCUAGUUGGUAGGGUAAAGGCCUACCAAGGCGACGAUCCGUAGCUGGUCUGAGAGGAUGAUCAGCCACACCGGAACUGAGACACGGUCCGGACUCCUACGGGAGGCAGCAGUGGGGAAUAUUGCGCAAUGGGCGAAAGCCUGACGCAGCCAUGCCGCGUGUGUGAAG